rnacentral:lncRNA from 1 species
AAUGUGGACAAAUAAAACCAGAACUAUCUGCACGGAGAGAUAACGCUAGAGGGAAGAGAGAAAAUAUGUUUUUUGUAAUUUAGAUGAACUGCCUCUUUACAAUUGUAAUAAUAUGACAGUGCAUGUCGUGAAGACGUUUACUGUAAGGUUAAUUAAGGUUACACUUCUCAUCCCUCAUGGCCAGCAGCUGUUCCCUAUCAGCAAUCAAUUAGCACAGCUGGGAGGAUCCUUUUAAAGGAGUGCUCAGAUGUUACAAAAGACAGCAGUGAAUCUGGAGUUAACAACAUGGCUGUGCUUUGUAGGAUGUCUUUGAGGGUAUCAUGGAUGUUAUGCCUGUUGAUCAGCAGUACAACUUGUCUUCCUGCACCAAAAGGCUAUGGCUCAGGCAGUCCUAAUCUUGCUCCCAUUGGCAUUGUGGGCUGGCUCUCCACUUCUGACUCUAGUGACCCAAAUGCUGGCAGGCUGGACAGGAGUGGCCUUCUUUCCAGAGUGUAUUACCCUAUCUCUGGGAGUGUCCCGCAGAUACCCGCUGCUCAGAGUUCUAACGAGAAGCUGAGCUCUAUGGGUAACGUUUGGGAUAAUGGAAUUGGCAGUAGCUUCUUUGAUCCCCGACCUGCAAGUUCCUUUAGCAGUAGAUCCCGCUCAAGCUACCGGAAGGGAAGAAACAUGUUCGUACAAAGCCACUACACCCCCGGAGAGUGGAACACUUAUGCCAGUGUUGGAGAGCAGCCCUAAACAACCUCUCAAAGGUGGCCUCCGAGCAUUGUGAAGGAUCCCGUGCAUCUUGAUUUAGUCUGGCUUGACUACUUGAGAAAAAUAAAGUUGUGCUUCAGAUCUGAUUUUUAGCUUUGUCUUUUGUCACAUGUUUCCUGAGGUGUAGGCUUCUACAGUACUGUGGCUGACUAGUAGCUAAUGGUCUGCUCAAAUGGGCAUUUGUGGACGCUUAAAGGAUGUGUUCAUAAUU